rnacentral:rRNA from 1 species
AGCUCCAAUAGCGUAUAUUAAAGUUGUUGCAGUUAAAAAGCUCGUAGUUGAAUUUCUGGGCUUGCCGAGCGUUGGAUUCUGUCCUUCGUUCCGCGGGUUCAUCUUCGCCCUUCGGGGCGUCUUUUACUGUGAAAAAAUUAGAGUGUUUAAAGCAGGCAAUUGCAGGAAUACAUUAGCAUGGAAUAACGAAUGUACUUACAAUUUGGUUGAUUGUAGGUUACGGUUAAUAGGGACAGUUGGGGGCAUUAGUAUUUAAUUGUCAGAGGUGAAAUUCUUGGAUUAGUUAAAGACUAACGUAUGCGAAAGCAUUUGCCAAGGAUGUUUUCA